CUUGAUAUUUGCAGGGUAGCAACAUGUACUGUGAAGAGCGGGAGAGCGAUGGCUAGGGAUGUUCCGCUUUGCAUCCUGGCUGGUACUGGACCACCCGCGCAAUGGAAGCGGCUGUGCUUCCCAGCUGGGAACGCACCAGUCCGACCCCAAAAAGCCUGUAGGUGCCCUCUCCUGUGCUGGGAGGGUCGGAAGGAAUUAAAAGUUAUCUUAGAGCUAAAAAGAAUUACAGCUGGUAGCGCCUGUAUGGAACAAUAAGCUGUUUUCAGGGAGGUUAUUGUCAAGUAUUGCCUGCUCUGCAGUGCUUUGCAUGGAAAAGCAUCAGAAACAACAUGCCUUGGGAAGCUGCCUGGAAAAUAAAUGCAGUAGCUUAAUUCACCCAGGCAAAUGCGUGCUUGGGCAAAGAAAAUAUUUAGAUGGAGAAGAAAGAGGAUCAGCUUCUAGCUUUGG